rnacentral:tRNA from 1 species
GCCGCCUUAGCUCAGUUGGUAGAGCAACACUUUUGUAAAGUGAAGGUCCCCGGUUCGAGCCCGGGAGGCGGCU